rnacentral:rRNA from 1 species
AGUAACGCGUGGGUAACCUGCCUUAUACAGGGGGAUAACAGUCAGAAAUGGCUGCUAAUACCGCAUAAGCGCACAGAGCUGCAUGGCUCAGUGUGGAAAACUCCGGUGGUAUAAGAUGGACCCGCGUCUGAUUAGCUGGUUGGUGAGGUAACGGCCCACCAAGGCGACGAUCAGUAGCCGACCUGAGAGGGUGACCGGCCACAUUGGGACUGAGACACGGCCCAAACUCCUACGGGAGGCAGCAUG